rnacentral:snoRNA from 14 species
AGCACCGAAAAGCGUUUUCUUGCCAGCCUGAUAAAUGCUCAUGAAAAUCGUAGAUGUGUGCCAUAGCAAUUUUUACAAUAGCAAGUGAUACAGCUUCGAUCCGUUUACAUUGUAAACAUCC